CCUGUGAAACUYAAAAGAUCGAAUGGGGAGAUUCAUCGUCAGCGUAUUCAGUAUUAAUGNANGCUAUGAUGUAAUUNUAUGAUCCUUGUGGUCAAAAAUUAUACUCGUCUGUGUUAUUUACACCGGGAUAGCGUCUUCGUGCACUUCUCCCCUAUUAUAAAGUUUCGACAUGUGAAAUGUUUAUCUAUGGUCCCAUUGGUGUACUUUAGAGURUMAUCUUCGGAUGUUNNCAUUAAAGACCAUUGGUAUAUCCUGAUAAACUGUUGGACGGUAUUUUAUGAUAUUNAGCCGCAAAUAUAAUUUGCGUUAGAAUUAUCACAAGNGAGANUAAUUUUAGUAGUNCAGANAUUAUGCUGUCANUAGAUUANUUGAGCUGUUAGUUGAUAAUGUUCUUUAACUGGCUUAUAUAUCGGUCGGCAAUGCUACUGCU
rnacentral:rRNA from 1 species